GACAGAGGUGCCAAGCGUUAGGCGGAAUCACUGGGCUUAAAGCGUGUGUAGGCGGAGUGCUAAGUACCUUGUGAAAUCCCACGGCUCAACCGUGGAACUGCUGGGUAUACUGGUUCUCUUGAGCGACCCAGGGGCGAGCGGAACAAACGGUGGAGCGGUGAAAUGCGUAGAUAUCGGAAGGAACACCGGUGGCGAAAGCGGCGCGCUGGACCCCUUCUGACGCUGAGGCGCGAAAGCCAGGGGAGCAAACGGG
rnacentral:rRNA from 1 species